GGACUACCGGGGUAUCUAAUCCCGUUCGCUCCCCUGGCUUUCGCGCCUCAGCGUCAGAUGAGAUCCAGCAGCCCGCUUUCGCCACCGGCGUUCCUUCCGAUAUCAACGCAUUUCACCGCUCCACCGGAAGUUCCGGCUGCCCCUACCCCCCUCAAGACCUCCAGUAUCCAAGGCACUUUUCCGGUUAAGCCGAAAGCUUUCACCCCGGACUGGGAGGUCCGCCUACGCGCCCUUUAAGCCCAGUGAUUCCGAACAACGUUCGCACGGUUCGUCUUACCGCGGCUGCUGGCAC
rnacentral:rRNA from 3 species